rnacentral:rRNA from 1 species
UAGGGAAUAUUGCAAAAUGGGCGAAAGCCCGAUGCAGCAACGCCGCGUGGGCGAUGAUGGCCUUCGGGUCGUAAAGCCCUUUUUGAGGGGAUGAGGAAGGACAGUACCCUCAGAAUAAGCCUCGGCUAACUACGUGCCAGCAGCCGCGGUAAAACGUAGGAGGCGAGCGUUAUCCGGAUUUACUGGGCGUAAAGCGCGUGCAGGCGGAUUGGAGAGUUGGAUGUGAAAGCUCCCGGCUUAACUGGGAGAGGUCGUUCAAUACUUCCAGUCUUGAGUGCAGUAGAGGGAAGUGGAAUUCCGGGUGUAGUGGUGAAAUGCGUAGAUAUCCGGAGGAACACCAGUGGCGAAAGCGGCUUCCUGGACUGUAACUGACGCUCAGACGCGAAAGCUAGGGUAGCAAACG